rnacentral:tRNA from 1 species
GCCAGUGUGGUGGAAUUGGCAGACACGCUAGACUCAAAAUCUAGUUCUGAAUAAGAGUGCCGGUUCGAGCCCGGCCACUGGUA